GUGUCAUAGAAACAUAGAAACAUAGAAAUUAGGUGCAGGAGUAGGCCAUUCGGCUCUUCGAGCCUGCACCGCCAUUUAAUAUGAUCAUGGCUGAUCAUCCAACUCAGUAUCCCGUACCUGCCUUCUCUCCAUACCCUCUGAUCCCCUUGGCCACAAGGGCCACAUCUAACUCCCUCUUAAAUAUAGCCAAUGAACUGGCCUCAACUACCCUCUGUGGCAGAGAGUUCCAGAGAUUCACCACUCUCUGUGUGAAAAAAGUUUCCUCAUCUCGGUUUUAAAGGAUUUCCCCCUUAUCCUUAAGCUGUGCCCCCUUGUCCAGGACUUCCCCAACAUCGGGAACAAUCUUCCUGCAUCUAGCCUGUCCAACCCCUUAAGAAUUUUGUAAGUUUCUAUAAGAUCCCCUCUCAAUCUCCUAAAUUCUAGAGAGUAUAAACCAAGUCUAUCCAGUCUUUCUUCAUAAAACAGUCCUGACAUCCCAGGAAUCAGUCUGGUGAACCGUCUCUGCACUCCCUCUAUGGCAAUAAUGCCCUUCCUCAGAUUUGGAGACCAAAACUGCACGCAAUACUCCAGGUGUGGUCUCACCAAGACCCUGUACAACUGCAGUAGAACCUCCCUGCUCCUAUACUCAAAUCCUCUUGCUAUGAAAGCCAACAUACCAUUCGCUUUCUUUACUGCCUGCUGCACCUGCAUGCCUACCUUCAAUGACUGGUGUACCAUGACACCCAGGUCUCGCUGCAUCUCCCCCUUUCCCAAUCGGCCACCGUUUAGAUAAUAAUCUGCUUUCCCGUUUUUGCCACCAAAAUGGAUAACCUCACAUUUAUCCACAUUAUACUGCAUCUGCCAAACAUUUGCCCACUCACCCAGCCUAUCCAAGUCACCUUGCAGUCUCCUAGCAUCCUCCUCACACCUAACACUGCCCCCCAGCUUAGUGUCAUCCGCAAACUUGGAGAUAUUGCCUUCAAUUCCCUCAUCCAGAUCAUUAAUAUAUAUUGUAAAUAGCUGGGGUCCCAGUACUGAGCCUUGCGGUACCCCACUAGUCACUGCCUGCCAUUGUGAAAAGGACUCGUUUACUCCUACUCUUUGCUUCCUGUCUGCCAGCCAGUUCUCUAUCCACAUCAAUACUGAACCCCCAAUGCCAUGUGCUUUAAGUUUGUAGUUAAGUCAACAUAGACUAAAGGCAUUUGAUAUAUUGAUUGAUGGAGCAGAUUUGAAGACAUCUGUAACUUUCUUAUAUUAUUGUGCUCUUGUUUUUGAUAUCAGUAAUAAUCUCCCAUGAGAAACUUACCAAUGGCCAUUUGGAAAUCAAUCCACGCCAUGUUAUAUAGUUUUCUACUCCAACUUGGGAUAUCAAACUUUUCAUAAAAUUAAAUAACGUGGUAAGACAAUAUAUUUACGUUUUCAAACUACAUUGAUACUUUUUACUGAAUCGUGUUUCAGCAGAUUUGCUUCUAAUCAUUGAUCCUAGUAUUUUCCCAGAUAUUGCUCUCGGUUUCUGUUCAUCCAUUGGUUUUGUUUCUUUCUUUAUUGUGGAUAUAAACCUGUGUCCAAUGUUGUCGUACCUCUAAACAUCCAUGAAGAUCAGCUUUUGACAAGUUUCAGCCGAGUCCCUCCCCAUGCACUGGAAUAGAUGCUGCCCUUUCCUACAUAUUAUUAUUUUUUUCAAAAACGAAACUCUGCUGGAGGGGCUUUACCCGGAAACAAUAACUAUGUUUCUCUUCCCAUUGAGGUAUCCUGACCUGACUGCAUUGGCAAUCAUUCUACAUCCAGCACUGAAGCUUGGCACUUAUGGAGUUAACCCAUCGGUAAUUUGGGACGUAUCAGCUUGAGGGAUUUCUGUACGGACACAUCACCUCCUGCCCUACACCUGUAUCCACCUAUCACUUGCCAGACUUUGCUUCCCCCGCUCUUUUUUCCAACUUUCUUUCCCCUGCUCCAACAGUCUGAAGAAGGGUCUCGACCCAAAAGGUCAUUGCUCCAUUCCCUCCACAAGCUAAGGUUCACUUCUUAAUAAACAGACAACUCACAAAAACGUUUGUUAGACCAACUCAAGCUUUACAGAUCAUCGGCCGGGAAGUGAUGGGGAUACAACAGUCAAGUAAGCAACACAGACACUUGACUUCCCCCGUGCCACCACUUCAAUAAACCAGGGGUUGCAUUGUGUUUUAUACUGUGUGAGUGUGUCACUUAAUUACAUUCCAAAGAUGUUAGUCAUGGUCAGGGAUACAGUCAAUACACAUUACCAUAGGAUGCGGCUGAACUUGUCUCUUGUCAAUUAGUAGACACAUUUCAAAGGCAUCUUAUCAGUUGGUACUUUCAAGACAAGACAUCUCAAAGGCAUCGAUCAAUUUCUCAAUAUACAUCACUGAGACAAGUCUGGGCUUCUCUCUUUCAUCAAUUGGCAGACACAUUUCAACAGCACCGGUCAUUGUCUCAAUACACAGCAACCUGAGGCAAGCCCGGGCUUGUCUCUCUAUCUCUCUUAUCAAUCCACUGAAAAAGGCCUGCUUGAGACGAAAUAUAAGCUACAACCUAGUCCAGUAUUCCACUAUGUAUUUUUUAUAUAUUUCAAAGUAUGUAACCUUUUCACACAGAUGCUGCCUGGCCCGUUGAUUUCCUCCAGCGCUUUGUUUUUAUGAUAUGUCUUUACGGUUAGAUGAUAAGAACAAAGUCCAAGAGACUAUAAUAAUAAUCGGAUGUGUUUCUAUGCUUCAAGUUCUGAGUUAAAUACACUAUGUAUUUUAGAUCAAAUCCAUAGACAACAGACGGGUGGAUUUCCAUCCAUUCACAAUGCUUAUCAUGUUCGAGGUUAAAUAUUAUCAAGCUCUGCUGUUGCUUGGAAGUUUGCAAAUGAUGCAAUAAAUUAGUAAGUUCCCUAUCUAUCAUUGCAUUAACCAUCACAGAUAGGAUUAAAGUUUCCUCUUCCCUGUUGGCAUUAAAGAGAAAAAUUGAAUUCCCUUUAUCUGGCAUAACUUUUUACACUCAGUCAUUGGUUAAAUAUUAGAUUACCUUAUCAUCAUUCUGGUCCUAAACCUGCUCUGCAAACAACUGGUGCAUGUAUCGGCAGCGAACCGUGACUAUUCUACCCCCUGAAACUGCAGGAGAAUCCAAAACUACUUCCUGCAACAAUAAAAAGUUGAAAAUGAUUCAAAAUUUGACAUGGAAUCCCCAGUCAUAUUGGUGAAAAUCCUGCUGGCUGGAGUCACCAGUUGCAAUGGGAAUUAACAACAAACAUUGAAACUGCAGCAGGACUUAGACUUCUGUGCACGUGCUGUUAAAUGUGCUGCAGCUCAGAAGUCACUGCCGGGCAAGUGUUGGUGUAUCUGUCACCAUGCUCCGUCACACAAGGUCAGACCGAACACAGGAUAUGUGAUCACAUUGAUUAUUGUGCAUAUUCUAGGCUUCUCGAUUACGAGGCAAAGAGGAGGAGAAGGGCGAAAAGCUAGAUUCACAGAUUUCUGCCAGUCUUUGAACAUCGUGCAUUUACAAUUUUGCAACGCCAUUCGAGAUACUGAAGAGGAAUCAGGUAAAUGUUUGAAUGGUCAGGGAAAUGAGCAUUUUGGGAAAUGGACACAAAUAAGAUGAGACACAAAAUGCUGGAGUAACUCCGCGGGACAGGCAGCAUCUUUGGAUAAAAGGAAUGGGUGGCGUUUUGGGCCGAGAUCCUUCUUCAGAACAUCAAAACGUCACCCAUUCCUUCUUGCCUGCCCCGCUGAAUGACUUCAGGGUUUUGUGUCUAUCUUCGGUGUAAACCAGCAUCUGCAGUUCCUUCCUACACAAAUGAGAUGGGAACUGGAGCAGAUCAGUUAUGGUGGGAUAGGCUUGAGAGGCCGAGUGGUCCACUCCGCUCUUAUUUUCUUAUGUUCUCAAAUUAUACUAUAGCCAAGUGACUUGCGAGGCCAUUUAACAAAGCAGGUGAAAGUCAAUCAUCUUACGAUGGGUCUGGGGUUACACAGAGGCCAGACUGGGUAAAAAAUUGCACAUUUCCUUUCCAGAAAGACAUUGGACACUUUUUGAUUCUACUCUGAUGGAAAAUGCAGUGAAAUAUUUAAAUUACCUGAUCAUCCAUUGUAUUUUUUAUUUCCAGAGCUUUAUGUGUACAGAGGUUUUCUAUUUUAGUUCAAAAUAAAUAGUUUUUUUAUCCAAGAGAUCAAAGAAAAUGUAAUCUUUCCUUUCAAAGAACAUUAAUUAUGAACAGCAAAUAAAGAAUGACUUUGGCCAAUGAACCGUGACUCUGCUCUGACAACUAACAAUCAUGAUAAUCAUAUGAACAGAAUGAAAAAUAUCCCUCUCUUUUUACCUCACUGCCUAACAUGUCUUCUAUGAUUAAAAAAAUUACUUAAAUAUGAUAGUUUUACAUUAGUAAAUGGGACAACCUGGCAUAAAAAAUUAAUGUAUCCAACAGAGCUAAUCAUCCUCAGGGAUAUUGACUAAUUAAGGUAAUGCCCGAUCAUAGCAUAUAAAGAUAAUUAGCGACACAAUUAUUGUUUCUUUUUAAAAAAGCGCACUUGCCAUCAGGCACGUGAGAUCAAGCGUUGCAAACUUGCCUUCUGUGUUAAUUAAUUAUCUAUUGCUAUGAUAAUUGAGUCUGAAGAACCUUUAGGUUACCUUUGUAAAAUUUCAGCCACCAGCCAAUGCACUGUUAUCAAGUGCAUUGCAUAUUACCAAUACAAUUAACAUCAUUAAGUGCAGUUUCCACCAUAACGUGCUCCCUGGUCGCUAAAGAACAUACUGUUUGUGCAUUUGGCUACUAAGAGUGGAAUAUUUUCCACUGGCCUGCUAAGGACAUGAUAUGCUGCAGUGAAUGUAACUUGCAAAACAAGUUGGAAAGCCCGGGGUAAUAAAAUCACAGAAUUAAAGAAAGAGUGUUUGUGUAAUUUACAAGGAGGGAGACAUCAAAGAUCUUCUAUUUUCCUCCCUACUGAUGCCUCAGAUGGAUUCUUGUUGUGAAUUUGAAUCUGCAGUUGGGGACUGGACAUAUACUGUACCUCUGCAAGCCACAUAUAUUUCACCCUUCUAAGAUGUUGUCCUUGAAGCAUACAUGACCAACUCAUUUUGUUGUGUAUAUAAUUUAGGAGGAAAUGACAAGUAUAAAACUGCAAUAUAAAACUGUAACAUUUUAGUGGUGGUGGAUUGUAGUUGUUCAUCACCUGUACAACUACGCUGGAACAUGGGGAUUGAAAAUGGUCUCAUGGAUUGGUUUCCUUAGGUUAGCUAGAGGAUAUAUAAGGGUAGAGCUGAGAUUUCCUUCUGUUACACAAAAGAUAUUUACUUAAAGCUUUCCCAGUGGAUUCGGACAUCUCCUUUAACAGAGUAGGAAAAUGCAGUGGUUUCACAUCUGGCAGUUCAAUAAUGUAUUGGACAGUUCUGCUCAUUCUGUCUGCAACAU